UCUCACCCAGGAUCACUUCCGAAACCACUUGGCCUUCAGCCCCUGCCUCGGCCAGAGGUUUCAUUUUUAACUGAAUAUUUACGAAAGCUGAAAGCGUGCGAGGGGGGUGGGGUGGAAAUAGCGGCUGCUUCUUUUCCAAGGAUUUAUUUAAUGGGGAUGUGUUCAAGGCAAGACCGAAUUCAGAAGGAUAUCGACGUCGUGAUCCAGAAGUCCAGAGCUGAGGACUGCCUGUUUGCAGAUUUCAGGUACUCAGACUCCACCUUUACUUUUACCUAUGUUGGCG
rnacentral:lncRNA from 1 species